GGCGAGGCCGAAAGGCGUAGUCGAUGGGAAACGGGUUAAUAUUCCCGUACUUGGUGUUACUGCGAAGGGGGGACGGAGAAGGCUAUGUUGGCCGGGCGACGGUUGUCCCGGUUUAAGCGUGUAGGUGUGUGUUCCAGGUAAAUCCGGUUCACUUUAACACUGAGGCGUGACGACGAGGCACUACGGUGCUGAAGCAACAAAUGCCCUGCUUCCAGGAAAAGCCUCUAAGCAUCAGGUAACAUCAAAUCGUACCCCAAACCGACACAGGUGGUCAGGUAGAGAAUACCAAGGCGCUUGAGAGAACUCGGGUGAAGGAACUAGGCAAAAUGGUGCCGUAACUUCGGGAGAAGGCACGCUGACACGUAGGUGAAGUGAUUUACUCAUGGAGCUGAAGUCAGUCGAAGAUACCAGCUGGCUGCAACUGUUUAUUAAAAACACAGCACUGUGCAAACACGAAAGUGGACGUAUACGGUGUGACGCCUGCCCGGUGCCGGAAGGUUAAUUGAUGGGGUCAGCGCAAGCGAAGCUCCUGAUCGAAGCCCCGGUAAACGGCGGCCGUAACUAUAACGGUCCUAAGGUAGCGAAAUUCCUUGUCGGGUAAGUUCCGACCUGCACGAAUGGCGUAAUGAUGGCCAGGCUGUCUCCACCCGAGACUCAGUGAAAUUGAACUCGCUGUGAAGAUGCAGUGUACCCGCGGCAAGACGGAAAGACCCCGUGAACCUUUACUAUAGCUUGACACUGAACAUUGAGCCUUGAUGUGUAGGAUAGGUGGGAGGCUUUGAAGUGUGGACGCCAGUCUGCAUGGAGCCGACCUUGAAAUACCACCCUUUAAUGUUUGAUGUUCUAACGUGGACCCGUGAUCCGGGUUGCGGACAGUGUCUGGUGGGUAGUUUGACUGGGGCGGUCUCCUCCUAAAGAGUAACGGAGGAGCACGAAGGUUGGCUAAUCCUGGUCGGACAUCAGGAGGUUAGUGCAAUGGCAUAAGCCAGCUUGACUGCGAGCGUGACGGCGCGAGCAGGUGCGAAAGCAGGUCAUAGUGAUCCGGUGGUUCUGAAUGGAAGGGCCAUCGCUCAACGGAUAAAAGGUACUCCGGGGAUAACAGGCUGAUACCGCCCAAGAGUUCAUAUCGACGGCGGUGUUUGGCACCUCGAUGUCGGCUCAUCACAUCCUGGGGCUGAAGUAGGUCCCAAGGGUAUGGCUGUUCGCCAUUUAAAGUGGUACGCGAGCUGGGUUUAGAACGUCGUGAGACAGUUCGGUCCCUAUCUGCCGUGGGCGCUGGAGAACUGAGGGGGGCUGCUCCUAGUACGAGAGGACCGGAGUGGACGCAUCACUGGUGUUCGGGUUGUCAUGCCAAUGGCACUGCCCGGUAGCUAAAUGCGGAAGAGAUAAGUGCUGAAAGCAUCUAAGCACGAAACUUGCCCCGAG
rnacentral:rRNA from 1 species